GAUGAACGCUGGCGGCGUGCCUAACACAUGCAAGUCGAACGGAAAGGCCCAAGCUUGCUUGGGUACUCGAGUGGAGAACGGGUGAGUAACACGUGGGUGAUCUGCCCUUCACUUCGGGAUAAGCCUUGGAAACUGGGUCUAAUACCGGAUAGGACCACAUUUUGGAUGGUGUGGUGGAAAGAUUCUGUGUGUGGGAUGAGCUCGCGGCCAAUCAGCGUGUUGGUGGGGUAAUGGCCUACUAAGGCGUCGGCGGGUAGCCGGCCUGGGGGGGUGUACGGCGACAUUGGGACUGAGGGACGGCCCAGACUCCGACGGGCGGCAACGGUGGGGAAUAUUGCACAAUGGGCGCAAGCCUGAUGCAGAGGCGCCGCGUGGGUGAUAACGGGCUUCGGGUUGUGAACGCCUUUCGCUAUGGACGAAGCGUUAUGUGACGGUACCUGGAGAAGAAGCACCGGCUAACUACGUG
rnacentral:rRNA from 1 species